AGAGGGGCGGUAACUAUACAUUCAGGAAGAGGUCCAUGGACUGUAAACUCUGCUAGCUUGCUAGGUGAAUCCGAUGGAAAAAUAACUCCGUUUGAUCGUUAAAUCGUCGUUAACCAUGUCUGCAAGAAACCCGGGCAUGCCCCUUGACCUGGAAUGGGUGUCCAAGGUGCGGGUGAACACCCAGGCAGUGCUGAAGAGAGCUCAGCAGAUCCAAGGACGCAAUAAGAACAAGAAACAGUGGCAGGCGGCGUGGCUGCUGCGGGCGGUGACCUGUAUUGACCUGACGACCCUGGCCGGUGACGACACGCCCGGCAACAUCCACCGGCUGUGUAUGAAGGCGACCCAGCCGGUACGCUACGACCUGCUGAAGAGCAUGGACAUGCAGGACGAAGGUGUGACUACUGCAGCGGUGUGCGUGUACCCAUCUCGUGUGGCUGAUGCUGUGAAGUCACUGAAAGCAGCCAACUCCAGCCUACCUGUCGCCUCAGUGGCGACCGGUUUCCCUGCAGGCCAGACCUCUCUGAAGACCAGGCUGGAGGAGGUCCGUAUGGCUGUAGAGGAUGGAGCUAUGGAGAUAGAUAUAGUCAUUAACAGGACUCUGGCUCUCACUGGCCAGUGGGAAGCCAUGUAUGAUGAGGUGUGUCAGUUCAGAGAGGCCUGUGGGGAGGCUCACAUGAAGUCCAUCCUGGCUAUAGGAGAGCUGGGGACCUACACCAAUGUCUACAAGGCUAGUCUGGUGGCUAUGAUGGCUGGGUCGGACUUCAUCAAGACGUCAACAGGGAAGGAGUCUGUCAACGCUACCUACCCUGUCGCCAUAGUGAUGGUCAGAGCCAUCCGGGACUACUUCCUGAAGACUGGACAUAAGGUUGGUUUUAAGCCUGCUGGUGGGAUCCGUACAGCCAAGGAGUCGCUGGUGUGGCUGACUCUGAUGAAGGAAGAGCUGGGAGACGAGUGGCUGAGCCCUCGCCUCUUUAGACUGGGGGCUAGUAGCCUGCUGGCUGACAUAGAGAGACAGGUAUACACACACACACACACACCUUCCAACACACGUCCCAUAACGUGACCGAUUAGUGCUGAGCCCUCGCCUCUUUAGACUGGGGGCUAGUAGCCUGCUGGCUGACAUAGAGAGACAGGUAUACACACACACACACACACACACACACACACACCUUCCAACACACGUCCCAUAACGUGACCGAUUAGUGCUGAGCCCUCGCCUCUUUAGACUGGGGGCUAGUAGCCUGCUGGCUGACAUAGAGAGACAGAUCUACCAUCACGUGACUGGUCGCUACGCAGCCUAUCACCAGAUGCCCAUGGCCUGAAACCACGGUUACCAUUUACCAAGUGACCAAUCCGAAACCUCACCCGAACCAGCCUAUCGCUGUGCAGGUUUCUUACAGGUUACCUGGAAGAAAUGUCUGUUGUUGGACUUGUCAGGAAUGUGUUAAUUUGAGAUGAUGACCAGAUCAGGUGAAGAAAAGAGAGAGCCUGCCAUUUUACUGUGUACAGUACUACUGGUAUAUCUGAUAUUUUACUGUGUACAGUACUACUAGUACAUCUGAUAUUUUACUGUGUACAGUACUACUAGUAUAUCUGUCAUUUUACUGUGUACAGUACUACUAGUACAUCUGAUAUUUUACUGUGUACAGUACUACUAGUAUAUCUGAUAUUUUACUGUGUACAGUACUACUAGUAUAUCUGAUAUUUUACUGUGUACAGUACUACUGGUAUAUUUUACUGUGUACAGUACUACUGGUAUAUUUUACUGUGUACAGUACUACUAGUAUAUCUGUCAUUUUACUGUGUACAGUACUACUAGUAUAUCUGACAUUUUACUGUGUACAGUACUACUAGUAUAUCUGAUAUUUUACUGUGUACAGUACUACUAGUAUAUCUGAUAUUUUACUGUGUACAGUACUACUAGUAUAUCUGAUAUUUUACUGUGUACAGUACUACUGGUAUAUUUUACUGUGUACAGUACUACUAGUAUAUCUGACAUUUUACUGUGUACAGUACUACUAGUAUAUCUGAUAUUUUACUGUGUACAGUACUACUAGUAUAUUUUACUGUGUACAGUACUACUGGUAUAUUUUACUGUGUACAGUACUACUAGUAUAUUUUACUGUGUACAGUACUACUGGUAUAUUUUACUGUGUACAGUACUACUAGUAUAUCUGUCAUUUUACUGUGUACAGUACUACUAGUAUAUCUGACAUUUUACUGUGUACAGUACUACUAGUAUAUCUGAUAUUUUACUGUGUACAGUACUACUAGUAUAUCUGACAUUUUACUGUGUACAGUACUACUGGUAUAUCUGAUAUUUUACUGUGUACAGUACUACUAGUAUAUCUAACAUUUUACUGUGUACAGUACUACUAGUAUAUCUGUCAUUUUACUGUGUACAGUACUACUGGUAUAUCUGAUAUUUUACUGUGUACAGUACUACUAGUAUAUCUAACAUUUUACUGUGUACAGUACUACUAGUAUAUUUUACUGUGUACAGUACUGCUAGUAUAUCUGAUAUUUUACUGUGUACAGUACUACUAGUAUAUCUGAUAUUUUACUGUGUACAGUACUACUGGUAUAUCUAACAUUUACUGUGUACAGUACUACUGGUAUAUUUUACUGUGUACAGUACUACUAGUAUAUCUGACAUUUUACUGUGUACAGUACUACUGGUAUAUCUAACAUUUACUGUGUACAGUACUACUGGUAUAUUUUACUGUGUACAGUACUACUAGUAUAUCUGACAUUUUACUGUGUACAGUACUACUAGUAUAUCUGAUAUUUUCCUGUGUACAGUACUACUAGUAUAUCUGACAUUUUACUGUGUACAGUACUACUAGUAUAUCUGAUAUUUUCCUGUGUACAGUACUACUAGUAUAUCUGACAUUUUACUGUGUACAGUACUACUAGUAUAUCUGAUAUUUUCCUGUGUACAGUACUACUAGUAUAUCUGAUAUUUUACUGUGUACAGUACUACUAGUAUAUCUGAUAUUUUACUGUGUACAGUACUACUAGUAUAUUUUACUGUGUACAGUACUACUGGUAUAUUUUACUGUGUACAGUACUACUAGUAUAUUUUACUGUGUACAGUACUACUGGUAUAUUUUACUGUGUACAGUACUACUAGUAUAUCUGUCAUUUUACUGUGUACAGUACUACUAGUAUAUCUGACAUUUUACUGUGUACAGUACUACUAGUAUAUCUGAUAUUUUACUGUGUACAGUACUACUAGUAUAUCUGUCAUUUUACUGUGUACAGUACUACUGGUAUAUCUGAUAUUUUACUGUGUACAGUACUACUAGUAUAUCUAACAUUUUACUGUGUACAGUACUACUAGUAUAUUUUACUGUGUACAGUACUGCUAGUAUAUCUGAUAUUUUACUGUGUACAGUACUACUAGUAUAUCUGAUAUUUUACUGUGUACAGUACUACUGGUAUAUCUAACAUUUACUGUGUACAGUACUACUGGUAUAUUUUACUGUGUACAGUACUACUAGUAUAUCUGACAUUUUACUGUGUACAGUACUACUGGUAUAUUUUACUGUGUACAGUACUACUAGUAUAUCUGAUAUUUUACUGUGUACAGUACUACUAGUAUAUCUGAUAUUUUACUGUGUACAGUACUACUGGUAUAUUUUACUGUGUACAGUACUACUAGUAUAUCUGAUAUUUUACUGUGUACAGUACUACUAGUAUAUCUGUCAUUUUACUGUGUACAGUACUACUAGUAUAUCUGAUAUUUUACUGUGUACAAUACUUCUGGUAUAUUUUACUGUGUACAGUACUACUGGUAUAUUUUACUGUGUACAGUACUACUGGUAUAUUUUACUGUGUACAGUACUACUAGUAUAUCUGAUAUUUUACUGUGUACAGUACUACUGGUAUAUCUGAUAUUUUACUGUGUACAGUACUACUAGUAUAUCUGAUAUUUUACUGUGUACAGUACUACUAGUAUAUCUGAUAUUUUACUGUGUACAGUACUACUAGUAUAUCUAAUAUUUUACUGUGUACAGUACUACUGGUAUAUUUUACUGUGUACAGUACUACUAGUAUAUCUGAUAUUUUACUGUGUACAGUACUACUAGUAUAUCUGACAUUUUACUGUGUACAGUACUACUAGUAUAUCUGUCAUUUUACUGUGUACAGUACUACUAGUAUAUCUGAUAUUUUACUGUGUACAAUACUUCUGGUAUAUUUUACUGUGUACAGUACUACUAGUAUAUCUGACAUUUUACUGUGUACAGUACUACUAGUAUAUCUGUCAUUUUACUGUGUACAGUACUACUAGUAUAUCUGUCAUUUUACUGUGUACAGUACUACUAGUAUAUCUGUCAUUUUACUGUGUACAGUACUACUAGUAUAUCUGAUAUUUUACUGUGUACAGUACUACUGGUAUAUCUGUCAUUUUACUGUGUACAGUACUACUGGUAUAUCUGUCAUUUUACUGUGUACAGUACUACUAGUAUAUCUGACAUUUUACUGUGUACAGUACUACUAGUAUAUCUGACAUUUUACUGUGUACAGUACUACUAGUAUAUCUGAUAUUUUACUGUGUACAGUACUACUAGUAUAUCUGAUAUUUUACUGUGUACAGUACUACUAGUAUAUUUUACUGUGUACAGUACUACUGGUAUAUCUGAUAUUUUACUGUGUACAGUACUACUAGUAUAUCUGAUAUUUUACUGUGUACAGUACUACUAGUAUAUUUUACUGUGUACAGUACUACUAGUAUAUCUGAUAUUUUACUGUGUACAGUACUACUAGUAUAUCUGAUAUUUUACUGUGUACAGUACUACUAGUAUAUCUGACGUUUUACUGUGUACCAGACAUACAAUACUGCUGGUAUAUCUGCCUCUUUGUGCCUUGAGACAGCUCAGCCAGUGUGGUUUCAUCUAGUCCCCAUCCAAACAAUGUGAAACUAUGACGGUGAAUGAAUUGAGUGUUGAUGAGUCAGUUUCAAUGAACCACUUUAAAUUGUAGUUGUUUUUGAGAGUACUAUAUUAUAGCCGAUAUAAAACUCUUAAUUCAGUAUUUCUAUUGUCGUUGUCGUUGUAAUGAAAGGUUGCCACCCAUUCUAAUCAUGUCUGGUCUGGACAUUUUGUUGGGAGAUGUUGAAGUGUGAUUAAAGAGCAUCAAACAUUAUCGAUUGUUAUUCACAUGAGAUGAAGUCAGGAAACCGUAUUGUGCAUUAGGUUCUCACAAAAUGGAGAUUGGUCUUUGGAGCUCUGACCUACAGCUCUGACCUACAGCUGUGACCGACAGCUCUGACCGACAGCUCUGACCGACAGCUCUGGCCGACAGCUCUGACCGACAGCUCUGGCCGACAGCUCUGACCGACAGCUCUGACCUACAGCUCUGACCGACAGCUCUGACCGACAGCUCUGACCGACAGCUCUGACCUACAGCUCUGACCGACAGCUCUGACCAAACAGCUCUGACCUACAGCUCUGACCUACAGCUCUGACCUACAGCUCUGACCUACAGCUCUGACCAACAUCUCUGACCAACAUCUCUGACCAACAGCUCUGACCUACAGCUCUGACCUAACAGCUCUGACCUAACAGCUCUGACCUAACAGCUCUGACCUAACAGCUCUGACCAAACAGCUCUGACCUAACAGCUCUGACCUAACAGCUCUGACCUAACAGCUUUGACCUAACAGCUCUGACCUAACAGCUCUGACCUAACAGCUCUGACCUAACAGCUCUGACCUAACAGCUCUGACCUAACAGCUCUGACCUAACAGCUCUGACCUAACAGCUCUGACCCAACAGCUCUGAUUAACAGGGUAACUGUAAUACACCACUAGAGUUUCUCUCUCUGAGCACGUGGUCGAUAUUAACGGACGAACCGCUUUAGGGCCUGUGUGCCCUUUAUCACGGUAUCUCCACUAUAUAAUCAGCUCAGUCUAUUCAUGUGAACAGUGUUGAUGAGUCAGUUUCAAUGAACCACUUUAAAUUGUAGUUGUUUUUGAGAGUACUAUAUUAUAGACGAUAUAAAACUCUUAAUUCGGUAUUUCUAUUGUCGCUGUCGUUGUAAUGAAAGGUUGCCACCCAUUCUAAUCAUGUCUUGUCUGGACAUUUUGUUGGGAGAUGUUGAAGUGUGAUUAAAGACCAUCAAACAUUA